GAUGAACGCUGGCGGCGUGCUUAACACAUGCCAGUCGAACGGAAAGGCCACAGCUUGCUGUGGUACUCGAGUGGCGAACGGGUGAGUAACACGUGGGUGAUCUGCCCUGUACUUCGGGAUAAGCUUGGGAAACUGGGUCUAAUACCGGAUAGGAAUCACAUGUGGGUGUGUGGUUGGAAAGCUUUUGCGGUAUGGGAUGAGCUCGCGGCCUAUCAGCUUGUUGGUGGGGUAAUGGCCUACCAAGGCGUCGACGGGUAGCCGGCCUGAGAGGGUGUACGGCCACAUUGGGACUGAGAUACGGCCCAGACUCCUACGGGAGGCAGCAGUGGGGAAUAUUGCACAAUGGGCGCAAGCCUGAUGCAGCGACGCCGCGUGGGGGAUGACGGCCUUCGGGUUGUAAACUCCUUUCGUCAGGGACGAAGCGAAAGUGACGGUACCUGGAGAAGAAGCACCGGCUAACUACGUG
rnacentral:rRNA from 1 species